UCCGUUGUUGUCCAUCGGUUAGGAUAUUUGGCUUUCACCUAGGAGGGACCUGGGUUCAAUUCCCAGCAACGGAA
rnacentral:tRNA from 1 species